UCGAUUCCUCCAAGCUUCGCGAAAACGAUUAUGUCGUUGGGAACAAGAAGUUCGGUGGGAAUGCUCAGGCCAUUUCGGGCAAGCGAUGGGUGCACCACACAUCGCUGUUGUGGUCGUUUGAAUCGACAACGAUGAGGUAUUUGCAAAUGCCGUCGAAAAA
rnacentral:sRNA from 12 species